CGUGCACUGGUGGGGUCCCUUGGCCUGGCCUGCGCCCUCUCGCAAUCCGGGACCCUCGGGGAUGUCAGAGGCCUGGUGCACGGAUUCGGCCCGAUCCCUGCAGGCCAGGCCGAGGGACUCCACCGGUGCACA
rnacentral:pre_miRNA from 1 species